UAGCAUGUCGCUAACAUGCAGAAUGACCAAAACUCAACUUCACACACCUUUUGUGUUAGAUGAAGAAGUUGAAAUAUAUGUGAAGAAGCACACGGUUUAAUGUUUGGAGACGGUGGUGAUCUGACCGUUCUUUCUGUUUCUAGAGCGGCUCUUCCAUUCCCAGCCACGUCUUCUCAAACCGCCCGUACUUCUUCGACAAUCCCAGGCGCUACGACAGCGACGACGACCUGGCCUGGGCUUCUCACCCCGUGACCACCUCCACCAGUCUGUCGACGGACGGCUUUGAUUGGAGCAGCCGAAGCAGCAGCUUCCUCGUCCAUCUCGGAGGAGACGAGCCACGGUCGUCGGCGGCAACGGCGGGACUCAACCGCUGAAGACGUACGGCUCUGGACGCCAGAAACGCACUGCACUUUAAGCGCCCACACACACGUCACACACACACACGUCACACACACGACGCACUGUAAGGGUGAGUUGCCAUGGCAACCGACUCCAGGUUCCCAGCGAGGCUGUGUUCAGAUUGGAGCACUAACACACCGCAUACUACCGAAAACAGUUACAGCAAUAUAAAGUAGCACAUUAUACCGCAUGCUUCAUCCAGAAACGCUCGCUCGGCGCCUUCAGGAUCACUCUGGAUCAAAUUUAGACAAUCUGAUCAGAAAAAGAUAUUACGUGCAUUUCAUUGUGGGAUUUUUUUUACGUUAUUUUUUUAUAUUUGCAAUUGCAUUUGUAUUUUAUUUAUUAUAUUUAUUUGCAUUUGUACGUUUAUUUGCAUUCAUUUAUUUUUAUUGAUUUGCACUCUUUUUUUUAUUUGCAUUUAUUAUCCGUUUCUGAAUUGCAUUUUUAUUUAUUUUACUUGCAUUUGUUUUAAUUGCAUAGUUAGUUUUUAAUUAUUUUAUUUUUAAUGCACCGUAGAACUAAUCGGCGCUUAAUUCAUCGAGAGGCAUCUAGUGUUAGAACACAUUCUGAUCACAGACUCGUGAUGUUCAUAUUCAUAUUGUGAUUCCAACACAGUAGUUACAGUUUGAUUACGAAAUAAUGUGCAAGGCAUGAAUUUGUGUUACUUUUGAGUAUCUAUCUUUAUCUGUUAAAAGCAGUAUAACUGGUCCACUAAGAUUGAAGCACACUU